UCCGGCUUGUCGCCGGCGGUCCCUUUAGAGUGCCCAACUAAAUGAUGGCAACUAAAGGCGAGGGUUGCGCUCGUUGCGGGACUUAACCCAACAUCUCACGACACGAGCUGACGACAGCCAUGCAGCACCUGUCUCGCGAUUCCCGAAGGCACCAAGGCAUUUCUGCCAAGUUCCGCGGAUGUCAAGGCCAGGUAAGGUUCUUCGCGUUGCAUCGAAUUAAUCCACAUGCUCCGCCGCUUGUGCGGGCCCCCGUCAAUUCCUUUGAGUUUCAGCCUUGCGGCCGUACUCCCCAGGCGGGGUGCUUAAUGCGUUAGCUUCGGCACGGAGGGAGUCGACACCCCCCACACCUAGCACCCAUCGUUUACGGCGUGGACUAC
rnacentral:misc_RNA from 1 species